AGAAGAAGAAAAAUUAUUAUAAAACAUUGAAUGAAUCCAUAUUUGUACCUUUGAAGUGCAGAUAACUUCACGAAGAUGGAUGUUCAUCCAAGUGUCGCAAUUGACCAAAUGUCCGUUAUACGUCUCCCCAUUUUUCAGUUCCACCAGCU